rnacentral:rRNA from 1 species
AGCGGCGGACGGGUGAGUAACGCGUGGGCAACCUGCCUCAUACAGGGGGAUAACAGUUAGAAAUGACUGCUAAUACCGCAUAAGACCGCGGUACCGCAUGGUACAGCGGUAAAAACUCCGGUGGUAUGAGAUGGGCCCGCGUCUGAUUAGCUAGUUGGCGGGGUAACGGCCCACCAAGGCGACGAUCAGUAGCCGACCUGAGAGGGUGACCGGCCACAUUGGGACUGAGACACGGCCCAAACUCCUACGGGAGGCAGCAG